rnacentral:rRNA from 1 species
UACAGAGGGUGCAAGCGUUGUUCGGAAUUAUUGGGCGUAAAGCGCGUGUAGGCGGCUUUGCAAGUCGGGUGUGAAAGCCCUCAGCUCAACUGAGGAAGUGCGCCCGAAACUGCAGAGCUUGAGUACCGGAGAGGGUGGCGGAAUUCCCCAAGUAGAGGUGAAAUUCGUAGAUAUGGGGAGGAACACCGGGUGGCGAAGGCGGCCACCUGGACGGUCACUGACGCUGAGAACGCGAAAGCGUGGGGAGCAAACAGG